UUGCGGCUAUAUCACGGUAAAACACCGGUUCUCGUAUGAUUAUCGAAGUUAAGCAACAUCGACCCUGGUCAGUAUCUAGAUGCGUGUCCGCUUGGGAAUACCAGGUAGUGUA